GACAGAGGGUGCAAACGUUGUUCGGAAUUACUGGGCGUAAAGCGCGUGUAGGCGGUCGUGCAAGUCGGGUGUGAAAGCCCUCGGCUCAACCGGGGAAGUGCACUCGAAACUGCAUGACUAGAGUCUCGGAGAGGAUAGUGGAAUUCUCGGUGUAGAGGUGAAAUUCGUAGAUAUCGAGAGGAACACCGGUGGCGAAGGCGGCUAUCUGGACGAUGACUGACGCUGAGACGCGAAAGCUUGGGGAGCAAACAGG
rnacentral:rRNA from 1 species